GGGUUGUGAGGUUAAGCGACUAAGCGUACACGGUGGAUGCCCCGGCAGUCAGAGGCGAUGAAGGGCGUGCUAAUCUGCGAUAAGCGCCGGUAAGGUGAUAUGAACCGUUAUAACCGGCGAUACCCGAAUGGGGAAACCCAGUGUGAUUCGUCACACUAUCAUUAACUGAAUCCAUAGGUUAAUGAGGCGAACCGGGGAACUGAAACAUCUAAGUACCCCGAGGAAAAGAAAUCAACCGAGAUUCCCCCAGUAGCGGCGAGCGAACGGGGAGGAGCCCAGAGCCUGAAUCAGCAUGUGUGUUAGUGGAAGCGUCUGGAAAGGUGCGCGAUACAGGGUGACAGCCCCGUACACAAAAGCGCAUGUGCUGUGAGCUCGAUGAGUAGGGCGGGACACGUGGUAUCCUGUCUGAAUAUGGGGGACCAUCCUCCAAGGCUAAAUACUCCUGACUGACCGAUAGUGAACCAGUACCGUGAGGGAAAGGCGAAAAGAACCCCGGCGAGGGGAGUGAAAAAGAACCUGAAACCGUGUACGUACAAGCAGUGGGAGCACAGGUUUACCUGUGUGACUGCGUACCUUUUGUAUAAUGGGUCAGCGACUUAUAUUCUGUAGCAAGGUUAACCGUAUAGGGGAGCCGUAGGGAAACCGAGUCUUAACCGGGCGUUAAGUUGCAGGGUAUAGACCCGAAACCCGGUGAUCUCAGCCAUGGGCAGGUUGAAGGUUGGGUAACACUAACUGGAGGACCGAACCGACUAAUGUUGAAAAAUUAGCGGAUGACCUGUGGCUGGGGGUGAAAGGCCAAUCAAACCGGGAGAUAGCUGGUUCUCCCCGAAAGCUAUUUAGGUAGCGCCUCGUGAAUUCAUCUCCGGGGUAGAGCACUGUUUCGGCUAGGGGGCCAUCCCGGCUUACCAACCCGAUGCAAACUGCGAAUACCGGAGAAUGUUAUCACGGGAGACACACGGCGGGUGCUAACGUCCGUCGUGAAGAGGGAAACAACCCAGACCGCCAGCUAAGGUCCCAAAGUCAUGGUUAAGUGGGAAACGAUGUGGGAAGGCCCAGACAGCCGGGAUGUUGGCUUAGAAGCAGCCAUCAUUUAAAGAAAGCGUAAUAGCUCACUGGUCGAGUCGGCCUGCGCGGAAGGAUGUAACGGGGCUAAACCAUGCACCGAAGCUGCGGCAGCGAACGUAUCACCCAAGACAACUUUACGGAGUUGACGAUUGACGGAGCGAAGCGACGUCAAAGCGUUCAUUAAAGUCGAGUUGGCUUAGGGAUACGUUCGUUGGGUAGGGGAGCGUUCUGUAAGCCUGUGAAGGUGUGUCGUGAGGCAUGCUGGAGGUAUCAGAAGUGCGAAUGCUGACAUAAGUAACGAUAAAGCGGGUGAAAAGCCCGCUCGCCGGAAGACCAAGGGUUCCUGUCCAACGUUAAUCGGGGCAGGGUGAGUCGACCCCUAAGGCGAGGCCGAAAGGCGUAGUCGAUGGGAAACGGGUUAAUAUUCCCGUACUUGGUGUUACUGCGAAGGGGGGACGGAGAAGGCUAUGUUGGCCGGGCGACGGUUGUCCCGGUUUAAGCGUGUAGGUGUGUGUUCGGGUAAAUCCGGUUCACUUUAACACUGAGGCGUGACGACGAGGCACUACGGUGCUGAAGCAACAAAUGCCCUGCUUCCGGGAAAAGCCUCUAAGCAUCAGGUAACACGAAAUCGUACCCCAAACCGACACAGGUGGUCAGGUAGAGAAUACCAAGGCGCUUGAGAGAACUCGGGUGAAGGAACUAGGCAAAAUGGUGCCGUAACUUCGGGAGAAGGCACGCUGACACGUAGGUGAAGUGAUUUACUCAUGGAGCUGAAGUCAGUCGAAGAUACCAGCUGGCUGCAACUGUUUAUUAAAAACACAGCACUGUGCAAACACGAAAGUGGACGUAUACGGUGUGACGCCUGCCCGGUGCCGGAAGGUUAAUUGAUGGGGUCAGCGUAAGCGAAGCUCCUGAUCGAAGCCCCGGUAAACGGCGGCCGUAACUAUAACGGUCCUAAGGUAGCGAAAUUCCUUGUCGGGUAAGUUCCGACCUGCACGAAUGGCGUAAUGAUGGCGGGCUGUCUCCACCCGAGACUCAGUGAAAUUGAACUCGCUGUGAAGAUGCAGUGUACCCGCGGCAAGACGGAAAGACCCCGUGAACCUUUACUAUAGCUUGACACUGAACAUUGAGCCUUGAUGUGUAGGAUAGGUGGGAGGCUUUGAAGUGUGGACGCCAGUCUGCAUGGAGCCGACCUUGAAAUACCACCCUUUAAUGUUUGAUGUUCUAACGUGGACCCGUAAUCCGGGUUGCGGACAGUGUCUGGUGGGUAGUUUGACUGGGGCGGUCUCCUCCUAAAGAGUAACGGAGGAGCACGAAGGUUGGCUAAUCUGGUCGGACAUCAGGAGGUUAGUGCAAUGGCAUAAGCCAGCUUGACUGCGAGCGUGACGGCGCGAGCAGGUGCGAAAGCAGGUCAUAGUGAUCCGGUGGUUCUGAAUGGAAGGGCCAUCGCUCAACGGAUAAAAGGUACUCCGGGGAUAACAGGCUGAUACCGCCCAAGAGUUCAUAUCGACGGCGGUGUUUGGCACCUCGAUGUCGGCUCAUCACAUCCUGGGGCUGAAGUAGGUCCCAAGGGUAUGGCUGUUCGCCAUUUAAAGUGGUACGCGAGCUGGGUUUAGAACGUCGUGAGACAGUUCGGUCCCUAUCUGCCGUGGGCGCUGGAGAACUGAGGGGGCUGCUCCUAGUACGAGAGGACCGGAGUGGACGCAUCACUGGUGUUCGGGUUGUCAUGCCAAUGGCACUGCCCGGUAGCUAAAUGCGGAAGAGAUAAGUGCUGAAAGCAUCUAAGCACGAAACUUGCCCCGAGAUGAGUUCUCCCUGAGACUUAGAGUCUCCUGAAGGAACGUUGAAGACGACGACGUUGAUAGGCCGGGUGUGUAAGCGCAGCGAUGCGUUGAGCUAACCGGUACUAAUGAACCGUGAGGCUUAACCUUACAACGCCGAAG
rnacentral:rRNA from 1 species